CUUCUUUACCCCAGAAUUGUUUGAUGUUCAUUCAUCCAAUAUAUUCUUGUUUUUAUGUUGCCAAUCAUCAUUGUGCUGGAAUCUGCUUGACCUUCAACUAAAGAACCAAGCUAUAUUAUUAGAAUGAAACUGCAAUUAAAUUCUAAGACGCUACUGUCAGAUUCAGAGAUGGAAGACGUUUUAGUAGAGUUCUUCAAAGUUCAUGGUUUAUCACAGUUUUCCCUGAAGGUUCGCAUCAUCAAACCAUGAAGAAAUCCAAGGAUGAAAUUGUGGAUCAGUCCAGUUUCUUUAAUGAAUAUUUACUCGUCUUUGUUCUCUUAAAUUUAAUAUAUUACCAGUCACAUGUAUUUACUUAGAAAAAAAUUAUCAUUGCUUAAUUAAUAUUUUAUCAUGUAUGACUCUUUUGUCUAACUAGUGGUUCAGAUGGGUUUUUUGUUUGUUUUUAUAAGUGGAAUUUAUUAGGAUUGCUGUCAUUAUCUUUUUAUGUAUAUAUUGUGUUGGUUUCUGUUGAGUUUAACGUUGUCUUUUUUCUUUUUGCUCUGUUAGAUUAGAAUUUAAUCAACAUUAUUUGUUUUCAUUAUUCGUAUUGCUUUAUACAACCUACACUUUAUUGCACUUUAAUGUGAUUUAUAACCGCAGUCAGUCCAGAUCCAAGUUGGCAACAUCUGCUUGAGUUCUGAUCUACACUAACUAUUUGAGGCCAUAUGUUUUGGACAUAGAAAAUUAUGUAAGGAGGGUUUCCUUCACACUUUGAAUCAGCUUAAUAAGCAGAAACAAGUCAAACAGGACACACAUUUUACUAAAUAGAUUUAUUGCCUGCUGUUCUUUAUUUUUCUCAUGUUAAGCUGUAAGAUUAGUAUCAUAUCAAACCAUACUGAAUUUCUUUCAGACAUACUUUCAUGUUUCAAUCUUAAAAAGACCAAUUGUCUUAUUAUGAAUUAAAGUGACACUUUUAUUAAGAUGUGAGGAUAAAAACAUCUAACUCCCGUCUCAGAAAUAUGUUGAUGGAACCAUCAUGUCUAAUCCUGUGAUUAAUUUACUAAAUAGAAAGUAUUUGAUUACCCUUGUGGGGGUUUUUCUCUCUUUCCCUCCUUGUUCAUGUGUUUGUUCAAAUGUGCACCGAUCCUUUACCUGCUCACAAGAGUAUAACAAAACAUCUGUCUCAACUCAAAACAUGCAGCUGCCCACAGUUAAAUGCUUUCAGUUUACUUCUGAAUUUUGAGAUAGCUCAUUUCUAUGCCUUUGUCGCCCCCUGCUGGGUUCUUUGGGGUAGGUGAGUUGUGGUUGGGUUGUUUUUCACUUCUCUUGCUUUAACUAUCCAUUUUCUAAUAUUU